rnacentral:rRNA from 1 species
UAACGAAUCUUCCGCAAUGCACGAAAGUGUGACGGAGCGACGCCGCGUGGAGGACGAAGUUCUUCGGAAUGUAAACUCCUGUCAGGGGAAAGAAAGUUCUGAUCUACCCCAGAGGAAGAGGCGGCUAACUCUGUGCCAGCAGCCGCGGUAAUACAGAGGCCUCGAGCGUUAGACGGAAUCACUGGGCUUAAAGCGUGUGUAGGCGGAAGGGUAAGUACCUUGUGAAAUCCCACGGCUCAACCGUGGAACUGCGUUGGAAACCCCAUGGCUGGAGUAGGACAGAGGUGAGCGGAACAGAUGGUGGAGCGGUGAAAUGCGUUGAUAUCAUCUGGAACACCGGUGGCGAAAGCGGCUCACUGGGUCCUAACUGACGCUGAUGCACGAAAGCCAGGGGAGCAAACGGGAUUAGAUACCCCCGUAGUCCCUGAGCGGGCUGGCAAGGCGCAU